GAUGAACGCUGGCGGCGUGCCUAAUACAUGCAAGUCGAGCGAACGGACGAGAAGCUUGCUUCUCUGAUGUUAGCGGCGGACGGGUGAGUAACACGUGGAUAACCUACCUAUAAGACUGGGAUAACUUCGGGAAACCGGAGCUAAUACCGGAUGAUAUUUUGAACCGCAUGGUUCAAAAGUGAAAGACGGUCUUGCUGUCACUUAUAGAUGGAUCCGCGCUGCAUUAGCUAGUUGGUAAGGUAACGGCUUACCAAGGCAACGAUGCAUAGCCGACCUGAGAGGGUGGUCGUCCCCACCGGACAUGAGAAACGGUCCAAAACCCUACGGGGGGCAGCAGUGGGGAAUCUUCCGAAAUGGGCGAAGGCCUGAGGGAGCAACGCCGCGUGAUGGAUGAAGGUCUUCGGAUCGUAAAACUCUUUUAUUAGGGAAGAAAAUUUGUGGAAGUAACUGGCCAACUUUUGACGGUACCUAAUCAAAAAGCCACGGCUAACUACGU
rnacentral:rRNA from 1 species